AUACUCUCAAUUACCUAAAGUGUUGGAACCUUUGAGUUAUCAUCAACUACUGAGACUGCAGCUGUAACCAACCGAAGUUCUCACUUGGUUCCCACUUUUCUGGGGAGACAGAGUAUCAUCUCCUCUGGGCAGAAAGCCAUGGCCACAGGAGGGAUCAAAACAGAUGAACUAUCACUGCUGGACUGGACUCUGAGAAACAAAGGCAGUGUCUCUGAAGCUGCCAGAAGCUGGCAAGAAGCAGUGCUCACUAACACUUGGAAGGACAUAAAGCAACUUGCAACCAACACAUGGAUGAGAAAUCACUGCAACUGAGUCAUGAAGGCCAGCAAUUUAUUCCUCUCUUUAUCUGCCAAGCAAGAUCAACGCAAAAUCUGGAGAUGGAAGGAACAAAAGAAGGAGGAAACAAGAACCAAACUUGAGAAAGGACUUGACCACAUGAUUGCUUCAACGUAUUCAAUUCUCAAUCAUUUAGCACACAUUUAACUCUUCUGAACAGGAAUGCUGUUCUGAAGUUGGUAGUUAAAGAAUUACAUGUUAAUUCCAUUAUUUUUAAAGUUUAUUAGUGGCAAGAGUAAGAAUGAGAAGGAGCCAACUAUCUUUCCAAAAGGAUUUUGUAUGUUCUACCCAUGCUUCUAUUUCUAAUGUUCUUCUAAAUGUUCCUCCUGCUCUUGGGCACUGUCAGAAAUGGGACAGUUGGCUAGACAAAUCUUAGGUGUGACCUACUUUUGAAAGACCUAUUUUUAUUUUAAGCUGCAUUUUUAAGAUAGUGAUAAAUGCUUUGUGACAGCUGAGCAUUAAUUUGUGUGGCAAAGACUCCAUCCCAAAGAUGCACAAAAAGACUGAGAAUCUCUUAGGGUCCAGCAUCCCAUUUUAAAAUAUUAAAACCCGUUUAUGCACAGGUGGCAGCAUUUUUGGUUUUGUUUUGUCAUUCACUAUAUUCCUACAUAGCCCAGAAAUCAGGCUACAGCAAAAAGCUUUCUGCAUAAUCUGGGAUCACCAGGGGUUUGCCAUGUUUUACAGGAAAUAAGGUCAUCUUUAUAAAUUGUUCCUGCUAAGCACUUACCAAAUAAUACAAGUUGUUCUUUCUUUAUUUUUCCCAAACAAAAAAAAUAAAGUGCUGAAUUAAUUUCCACAAACAUAACAAACCUAAUCUAAUGGUUCUGCAGUUGGCCAUCUGUUUCACAGAUACGAAUCUAACUGAAUCUUCUACUGACUGAUAAUUUUCAAAAUUAAAUUAAAUUGUCAAUGCUGACCCUGCUUCCAGCUUAGUUCCUCCUGCUUCCAUUUAAAGGGUUGGGAGUGCUUUCUGUAUCAUGAUCUAUAUCCCAAUUAGAUGGAAGACAACUGGUAAUAGUUGAAGCUACACACUUGGCACCAGAUCAAACUUAAAGGGGCAGAGAAGGGCAGCGUCCCCAGCUAUGAUGCAGCCUAAGGGAAUAUAGCAAAAAAGUUCCAGAGUACAGAUGUUAUAGCAAAAACUUUAGUUCCCCUUUCUCUAGUACAGUCUACAUCACAAAGAUCUUUUCAACCAAAUGGACUCGUAUAUUUAUGAAUAAUUUAAAAAAUACUCCCCCUAAUGGAAAAGAGUCACCCUCUGUACCUAAGUUUAGUUUAGCAGUAUAUAUUUAAAAAAAAAAAAUCAGUAUUUUAUCCCUAAAGCCCAUUUACAGACAUGCUAGCCAAGACCCCAGUUACCAGUUCACUGUCUUUGGGAUGAAGAAUGAUCGUCUGAACGAUAUAAGAGGAAAAUUCUGCUUCUUCAUUUCCCACUGACCUUAUGCUUUGCUGGAGAGAAGGAGGAAGGGGGAUGCUACUUCCAUCAAAGCCAGUUGGUGUGCGCACUGCUGGAGGCAGGAUGCUCAUAGACUCAGUAAACGAUCAGCCUGAUCUGCAAUGGCAAAUCCUAUGCUCCUAAUUAGAGAGGUUCACUACAGUGACACCAGCCUAUGUUUUCAUUGAUCUGGGAAUUAAAAUCAACGCUGUAGGGUUUUACUAGAAAUUCUGACACUGAACUUUUAACACAACCUUCUACCAAAAAAAAGAAAUCCAGUAAAGUAAAAUUUACAGCAGACUGGAAUUAAUAAUUUAAAACUGUAUUUUAUGGUUGAUGAAGAAAAUGAUAGUACAGGCACAAUUCCCACAAGCAUAGGCGGUUUGGGCAUCUCUGCCUGGGAGCUUCCUUGCGUAGCCAUCGGCCACUUGAAGGCCUUCUGUACCUUCCUGGAAAAACCAUUCAAGUAAAAGAAAUAAUUUUUGCACCGCUCCUGAAGCUUUCUUCAGAAAUAUAUAUAGCACAAUCCUUUAAUAGAACUGUCAUGAGGCAGAUCAACUGUAGAUUUCAUCAAUUUACAGCAGAGAGAGUUUUAACAUAAAGACUUUUAGUGGGAAUUUCCAAUUCUUGAACUGCAUGACCUACCAGGCUAAGACUCUGUUAUCAGUUCCUUAUGAUAUCUGUUGAUUCAUCCCUUUUUAAAAUGCAGAUGGUUGAAAUAUUUCUAUUGUUAUUGAUACUCCUUUAACAAUUAUAUGGCAUCAAGGAGGUUGAUCAAAAGACCUGCAAGCUCUGGAAAAUUCAAAAAGCACAAGGCAAUGACAGCAGAAUAUCCUCACAGGGGCCUCCAUCAGUCCAAUUUCAAUGUAAUUCCAUGCACACCUACAGAAUCCCAUUCUCUGUUUGAUAUCCUGCAUAUAGUUUCCCAUUUAGUCCUGGUUUUGCCUGAACACCUACACCUAGGAAAGUGUUACUCCAGCAAACUUAUGUUCCUUAAAUUAGCUGAGUAAAAGGUUUAAAGAGCAGAAAAAUUACAUGGAAUUGACAGGCAAUAAACUCCUGUAACUAAUCUUUGUGGUCAUUUUA